rnacentral:rRNA from 1 species
AUUAAACGGCCGCGGUAUCCUAACCGUGCAAAGGUAGCAUAAUCAUUUGUCUAUUAAUUGUAGACCUGUAUGAAAGGCAAAAUGAGAGCCCAACUGUCUCUUAUAACAAAUCAAUAAAACUGAUCUCCUAGUACAAAAGCUAGAAUACUAACAUAAGACCAGAAGACCCUGUGAAGCUUUAACAAACCCAUUAAAUCAAAUAAUGAUUACUUUCGGUUGGGGCGACCUUGGAAUAAAAAAGAACUUCCAACAUAUGACCUGCUCAUAAAAUAAGGCAAACAAGCCAAUACUAGACCCAGCACAGCUGAUAAUUGAAAUAAGUUACUCCAGGGAUAACAGCGCUAUCUUCUUUAAGAGCCCAUAUCAAAAAGAAGGUUUACGACCUCGAUGUUGGAUCAGGACAUCCCAGUAAUGCAUCCGUUACUAAAGGUUCGUUUGUUCAACGAUUAACAGUCCUACGUGAUCUGC